UGGGGAAUCUUGCACAAUGGGCGAAAGCCUGAUGCAGCGACGCCGCGUGCGGGAUGAAGGCCUUCGGGUUGUAAACCGCUUUCAGCAGGGACGAGGCCGCAAGGUGACGGUACCUGCAGAAGAAGCCCCGGCUAACUACGUGCCAGCAGCCGCGGUAAUACGUAGGGGGCAAGCGUUAUCCGGAUUCAUUGGGCGUAAAGCGCGCGUAGGCGGUUUGUUAGGUCAGGAGUUAAAUCUGGGGGCUCAACCCCUAUCCGCUCCUGAUACCGGCAGGCUUGAGUCUGGUAGGGGAAGGCGGAAUUCCAAGUGUAGCGGUGAAAUGCGCAGAUAUUUGGAAGAAAACCGGUGGCGAAGGCGGCCUUCUGGGCCACGACUGACGCUGAGGCGCGAAAGCUAGGGGAGCGAACAGG
rnacentral:rRNA from 1 species